rnacentral:rRNA from 1 species
CCUACGGGUGGCUGCAGUGGGGAAUAUUGCACAAUGGGCGCAAGCCUGAUGCAGCCAUGCCGCGUGUGUGAAGAAGGCCUUCGGGUUGUAAAGCACUUUCAGCGGGGAGGAAGGCGUUAAGGUUAAUAACCUUGUCGAUUGACGUUACCCGCAGAAGAAGCACCGGCUAACUCCGUGCCAGCAGCCGCGGUAAUACGGGGGUGCAAGCGUUAAUCGGAAUUACUGGGCGUAAAGCGCACGCAGGCGGUCUGUCAAGUCGGAUGUGAAAUCCCCGGGCUCAACCUGGGAACUGCAUUCGAAACUGGCAGGCUAGAGUCUUGUAGAGGGGGGUAGAAUUCCAGGUGUAGCGGUGAAAUGCGUAGAGAUCUGGAGGAAUACCGGUGGCGAAGGCGGCCCCCUGGACAAAGACUGACGCUCAGGUGCGAAAGCGUGGGGAGCAAACAGGAUUAAUACCCUGGUAGUC